UUUCCGUAGGUGAACCUGCGGAAGGAUCAUUAAUGAAUUUUACGCCCUAGGCUUAACAGCUAGGGGCUGGUUCUAUCCAUAACACCUGUGCACUGUUGGAUGCUUGCAUCCACUUUUAAACUAAACAUUAUUGUAACAAAUGUAGUCUUAUUAUAACAUAAUAAAACUUUCAACAACGGAUCUCUUGGCUCUC
rnacentral:misc_RNA from 1 species